rnacentral:rRNA from 1 species
UACGUAUGGUGCAAGCGUUAUCCGGAUUUACUGGGUGUAAAGGGAGCGCAGGCGGUACGGCAAGUCUGAUGUGAAAGCCCGGGGCUCAACCCCGGUCGUGCAUUGGAAACUGCCGGACUGGAGUGUCGGAGGGGUAAGCGGAAUUCCUGGUGUAGCGGUGAAAUGCGUAGAUAUCAGGAGGAACACCGGUGGCGAAGGCGGCUUACUGGACGAUGACUGACGCUGAGGCUCGAAAGCGUGGGGAGCAA